rnacentral:rRNA from 1 species
AACAGGAUUAGAUACCCUGGUAGUCCACGCUGCAAACGAUGUCGACUUGGAGGUUGUGCCCUUGAGGCGUGGCUUCCGGAGCUAACGCGUUAAGUCGACCGCCUGGGGAGUACGGCCGCAAGGUUAAAACUCAAAUGAAUUGACGGGGGCCCGCACAAGCGGUGGAGCAUGUGGUUUAAUUCGAUGCAACGCGAAGAACCUUACCCACUCUUGACAUCCAGAGAAUUUGCUAGAGAUAGCUUAGUGCCUUCGGGAACUCUGAGACAGGUGCUGCAUGGCUGUCGUCAGCUCGUGUUGUGAAAUGUUGGGUUAAGUCCCGCAACGAGCGCAACCCUUAUCCUUUGUUGCCAGCACGUAAUGGUGGGAACUCAAAGGAGACUGCCGGUGAUAAACCGGAGGAAGGUGGGGAUGACGUCAAGUCAUCAUGGCCCUUACGAGUAGGGCUACACACGUGCUACAAUGGCAUAUACAAAGAGAAGCGAACUCGCGAGAGCAAGCGGACCUCAUAAAGUAUGUCGUAGUCCGGAUUGGAGUCCGCAACUCGACUCCAUGAAGUCGGAAUCGCUAGUAAUCGUAGAUCAGAAUGCUACGGUGAAUACGUUCCCGGGCCUUGUACACACCGCCCGUCACACCAUGGGAGUGGGUUGCAAAAGAAGUAGGUAGCUUAACCUUCGGGAGGGCGCUUACCACUUUGUGAUUCAUGACUGGGGUGAAGUCGUAACAAGGUAACC